GACGAACGCUGGCGGCGUGCUUAACACAUGCAAGUCGAACGGUGAAGGGGAGCUUGCUCCCUGGAUCAGUGGCGAACGGGUGAGUAACACGUGGGCAACCUGCCCCUGACUUCGGGAUAACGCUUCGAAAGAGGUGCUAAUACCGGAUAUGAACCCUGAGGGCAUCCUCGGGGUUGGAAAGUUUUUCGGUCAGGGAUGGGCCCGCGGCAUAUCAGCGUGUUGGUGAGGUAGUGGCUCACCAAGGCGACGACGGGUAGCCGGCCUGAGAGGGCGACCGGCCACACUGGGACUGAGACACGGCCCAGACUCCUACGGGAGGCAGCAGUGGGGAAUAUUGCGCAAUGGGCGAAAGCCUGACGCAGCAACGCCGCGUGAGGGAUGAAGGCCUUCGGGCUGUAAACCUCUUUCAGCAGGGAAGAAGCGAAAGUGACGGUACCUGCAGAAGAAGCACCGGCUAACUACGUGCCAGCAGCCGCCGUAA
rnacentral:rRNA from 1 species